GCCAGGCGCGAGCACGUGCCUGUCGUCCCAGCUACUUGGGAGGCUGAGGCUGGAGAAUCCCUUGCUUUCAGGAGUUCUGGACUAUAGUGCGCUAUACUGAUCGGGUGUCCGCACUAAGUUCGGCAUCAAUAUGGUGACCUCCUGGGAGCGGGGGACCACCAGGUUGCCUAAGGAGGGGCGAACCAGCCCAGGUUGGAAACUGAGCAGGUUAAAACUCCCGUGCUGAUCAGUAAUGGAAUCACACCUGUGAAUAGCCACUGCCCUCCAGACUGAGCAACAUAGUGAGAAGCUGCCUCU
rnacentral:SRP_RNA from 1 species